ACACGGAGGGUGCGAGCGUUGUUCGGAAUCACUGGGCGUAAAGCGGGUGUAGGCGGUCUAGCAAGUCAGAUGUGAAAGUCCAGGGCUCAACCCUGGAAGUGCACCUGAAACUGUUAGACUUGAGUACUGGAGAGGGAAGUGGAAUUCCUGGUGUAGGGGUGAAAUCCGUAGAUAUCAGGAGGAACGCCGGUGGCGAAGGCGACUUCCUGGACAGAUACUGACGCUCAGACCCGAAAGCGUGGGGAGCAAACAGGAUUAGAAACCCCAGUAGUCC
rnacentral:rRNA from 1 species